rnacentral:rRNA from 1 species
UUGGUGUCAGCCCGUUGGGGUUGGGCCGAAGCCAACGCGUUAAGUAUCCCGCCUGGGAAGUACGGCCGCAAGGUUAAAACUCAAAGGAAUUGACGGGACCCGCACAAGCGGGUGGAGCAUGUGGUUUAAUUCGAAGCAACGCGAAGAACCUUACCAGGUCUUGACAUCCUUGGAACCUCUUGGAAACUUGAGGGUGCCCUUCGGGGAGCCAAGUGACAGGUGCUGCAUGGCUGUCGUGAGCUCGUGUCGUGAGAUCUUGGGUUAAGUCCCGCAACGAGCGCAACCCACGUUACUAGUUGCCAGCGGUUCGGCCGGGAAAUCUAGUAAGACUGCCUGUAAAGCAGGAGGAAGGCGUGGAUGACGUCUAGUCAGCAUGGUCCUUACGAUCUGGGCUACACACGUGCUACAAUGGCCGGUACAAUGCGUUGCCACUUCGCGAGAAGCGCUAAUCGCACAAAGCCGGUCCCAGUUCAGAUUGGAGUCUGCAACUCAGAAACUCCAUGAAGUUGGAAUCGCUAGUAAUCAGUAUAGCACAGUUAAUUGUAGAAAAGACUCUCCAUAGUGCUUGGUUGGGCCCUCCCGUCCGCAUGCAUCCCGGGCAACCAUCACGCCCUCGGGAUAUAGUAUCCACAGAAUGGCACGGUUCAGGCUGGAUCUCCUCCUGCUGUUCACAGUAAGCGGCAGAGUUUAAAAGGUCAGGCCCAAAGG